GCCCGAGUGGUGGAAUGGCAGACACAGGAGACUUAAAAUCUCCUGACCGCGAGGUCGUGCGGGUUCGAUCCCCGCCUCGGGUA
rnacentral:tRNA from 1 species